rnacentral:rRNA from 1 species
GUGGGGAAUCUUAGACAAUGGGGGAAACCCUGAUCUAGCCAUGCCGCGUGAGCGAUGAAGGCCUUAGGGUUGUAAAGCUCUUUCAGAGGGGAAGAUAAUGACGGUACCCUCAGAAGAAGCCCCGGCUAACUCCGUGCCAGCAGCCGCGGUAAUACGGAGGGGGCUAGCGUUGUUCGGAAUUACUGGGCGUAAAGCGCACGUAGGCGGACCAGAAAGUCAGGGGUGAAAUCCCGGGGCUCAACCCCGGAACUGCCUUUGAAACUCCUGGUCUUGAGGUCGAGAGAGGUGAGUGGAAUUCCGAGUGUAGAGGUGAAAUUCGUAGAUAUUCGGAGGAACACCAGUGGCGAAGGCGGCUCACUGGCUCGAUACUGACGCUGAGGUGCGAAAGCGUGGGGAGCAAACAGGAUUAGAUACCCCAGUAGUCC